AAGUCCAAACCCGGCAAAGCCAUAGCGGGCAGCCGGUACACAGCCUUGGAGCCGAGGUUGCGAGGCCAGGCUUAAGCGUAGGCAGUGGAGUGCGAGAGCCGCAAUGCGAAAGCGUGAAGCGAUUCAGCCCCGUAAGAAGUAUAGAGCGGAAGCCGAUACCUUCCUCAUGGUCGCAGGCAGCAAGAAAUGGUCGGUAAGCGAGACCGAGGAGAUUCCGCAGGGGUCAA
rnacentral:ncRNA from 1 species